rnacentral:lncRNA from 1 species
CAAACAAACAAACACAUCCUUAAAGCAAAAACAAGGAAGGAAAUGAGGCAAAAUGUUUAUAUAUAUAUAUAUUACCAGCUUUGUCCAAAAUCUCUUUAAGGUUUGAAACAUCACGGAUUGCGAUACAAGCGUGUCGAUCCCGGCCUCCGUGCUCGGGUCUGCCUGUUAACGGAUCAGGAUUUGGAAGCUCCAUUAAAUGAAUCAUCUCCGAACCUACCCAUAACCAUGCUCCUCUAUACGGAAGCUUAUCAUGUGGUCUUGCCUCGUUGAUCUCAAGUCCUAAAAUGUUCUGGUAAAACUCCAGUGACCGUUCUAAGUUCUUGCAGAGCAGACCAACGUGGUGAACCCCAACAACUCCAUAAUCUAUAGCAUCAACAUGUCUUAUUCUCAACUGUAACAUUAAUCCGAAAACUAUGUUGAGGAGAACUCGGUUUAGUUACCGGUUUGAUUGCAAACCUCUUUCUCUUGUACCACACGGAUCCCUUCAGCUGACCCUUGUGCUUGAUUAGCCUUCAAGCUACCAUUGAGCCUAUCUUUUCUCAGAUUCUUGUUCUUCCGAAAGUCAAAUCGUUCUAUCGUUGAGUGAUGAUUCGUGCAAGUCACCUUCCAAUUACCAAAACCCUUCAUCAUUAGUCCAACACAUACAAUCGAUUUUAAAUGAUAACAAACAAUCUUAACUUCUCAAACUCAGUAUCUCUAGCAAGACCCUAAAAAGUUUACAGAACUAGCGUCGAAGACCAACUCGAGAGAGGUAAGAAUAACCAUGAAAGAGCUAUUUAUUUCUAGAAAUCUGGUAACCUAAUAAUCUAUUAAGUGACUGAGGAAACGUAACUGUUACCUUUGGUCGUAGAUCAACUGAAACUGAAGGUCUGAAAAUAGACGCCAUCGUUCGAUGUCUGUUUCUUUUACGCUCUCAUCAACACAUGAGCAAGAAUCAUCUUCUUGAUUUGGAUAUUAUUAUGGGGUCAAGAAUAUUAAAGAGAGCCCAACAAAAAAACCUGAACCACAGAUUAAAGGUAAAGUUAAGUGAGAAGAGUUUGACAUCCGUGUUUAUUUGUUUGUUCUGUUUUUUUUUUGUCGACACUCUUUAUUAAAAGAAAGGAAUAAGAUUCUCCAUUUUUAUUUCGUUGAUCUUAAGUUCUUAACUAUACUUUGAUGGAUGGAUGUGAACUGAUUUCGCACCUGUUUACACAAAAGUCUGUCCAUCAUCACAUGGGAAAAUAAAAUCUAUGGUGUUUUGAAAUUUAUUUGUUUCAGCGACCACAGAAAAAUAUCUAUACUUUUUGUGAAAUCAAUAAAGUAGAAAAUGUGAUGUCAAACCUUUGUUUUAAUAAAAUGAAAAAGGUUGAAACGUAUGUCGAUGUGCCUGGCCCAGUCCACAUAGUAAAGAAAUUUGGUCAUUCGUCCAAGUGGUAGUUCACAUCUUGCUAGUCUUCGCUAAAAUUUACCUUUUUUACUGAAAACAUGAUAUUAAAACUCUGUGAUAAACAUAAAAUUCAAAUUUGCCAGUACUUUACUUUACAUGUUUUUUUUUUUUUGGUCGAAACUUUACAUGUUUUAAGUCAAGAAAAAUAAUUGAAUUGUGUUCAAAUAACUUUCCUUAUUAUUAGUCUUGUAAGUUUUUUUUCAAUUUGUCUUGUAAGUUAUAUGAUAUUGAACCAACAACAAGACGUUUUUACAUACUUUAAACUGUUAUGUGACCACUACUUUACACAGCAUCUUUUUGCAGAUCCGUGUGUCAAUUGGUUAUCUAUAGAUUUGUGACACAUAUACAAUAUGAAUUGAUUUUUACCCUAUUAAUUAUACAAUAUGAUAUUUGUUAAGAAAUAACUUACAAUUUAUAGUAUCGAAAAAUUUAAAUAAGAGUAGAAUUUGAUAUCCGUAGGAAGCAAAUAACACUAGUAUAAGGGAGAGAGUUUAUUAUAAGGAAAAAGAAGAAGAUGUAAUAGUUCUAUGAUUAUAAACUCUUGUUCUUGUUUAUGGUGUACAAAUGAGUGAGAUGAGUGAUGGUAUUUAUAGUGAGCAACAAUACAUAAAAUAUGAAAGAUAGUGCUUGAGUUGGUAAAUGAGUGGAUGAUCAUAGUGCUUGAGUUUGGUAAAUAAGUGAAUGAUCAUUUCAAUGCUUAUCUUAUAACACUCCCCCUUGAUCAUUCAUCUUGUAUUACGUAAUACCUCGUUAAAAACCUAGUCAUGGAAAACUCAAUGGGAAAAACCGUAGUAAAAGUAAAAAGAGUACAACUACGUAAGCUCCCCCUCGAAUGAGUAAUCAUAGAACCUUUAGAACUCCCAACGGUCUUCUUUUCUGUGCCGAGGACGCGGUGAAGAGAGGCUGUUUUGGUGAUAUGUUAGAUGGAUCAGUCAGAGAAUGGCCCCUGGCUGAAGCUGAAGAACUAGCUCGUAUAGCAAUACAGUGUUCGCAGCUCAAAUGCAGAGACAGACCGGAUCUUGAUACACAAGUCUUGCCUGCGCUCAAACGGAUUCUUGAAUCUGCUAAGAGUAAACUCAAGACUGAACAAGCUAAAGCACGACCACCAAGUCAUUAUUACUGUCCAAUUCUUAAGGUAAACAAAUAGUGGACUCUCUUUCACAACAAACCAAUGUUCAAUAAAUCACUAGGAGGUGGUUGGACCCUUAUAUAAGAUUAUUAUUUAGGCGGACGUCUAUAUCGAUUUUCCGAAAGCUGACUAUUUUUUUAUUUUGAAAAAAAAAAAUUUAUUCAGAUCCAAUUUGCCAACUAUGCGAACUCAUAAACCAAAUUUUUAGAACACUUGAACAAACACAAUACUUAAUGGUUCGGGUUUUUUAACACAAUGUUUUUGAUUGCAGGAAAUAAUGGAAGAUCCACAAAUAGCAGCAGAUGGAUUCACGUACGAAGGAAAAGCGAUAAAAGCUUGGAUUCAGAACAAUCAAAAUGUGUCUCCCGUGACUAAAAAUCGGCUCAGACAUUGCGAUCUCGCACCUAACCAUACUCUCAAAUCGGCUAUACAAGAGUGGCGAUCUCGUUCAGGCUUAGACCUCUCCACUACUCUUGGCUCCUCUUGAUCACAUAUAUAUAUAUGCAUUUAAUAAUCUAAUUUGUAUAUACUAAAUACCCUGAACUUGUUUAAAUCGGGUGUGGUGUAUGAUUCUCGUUCCAUAAGGUUUAUUUUCGGAAGAAGACAAGAGGAGCAAAGACUAUUAAGAGAGCAUAGGUUUUGUUUUAUAUAUAAGAUUUUAUGUAUUGCGUUUUGAGGUUUUAUGCUGAAUGUUGUAAAUCUGUGGUGUCUUCAUGAGACCUUCAGUACGAUCGUUAUGAGAUCGUAACUCUUUUAGCAUCAUUUUUGUUAUGGAUCUUCGUUUUCAUUAUUGGAGUGGAAUUUCAGUUAGAUUGUGGACUGUUUUAUUUGUUCGCUUUUGAGUGUGUGGGUUUAAGUUUAGAGAUGUUUUGUGGUUUUGAACUUAACAAAUUGGUGUGGUGAGCAUAAAUCAAAGACGCGACCUCUAAUAAGGUUUAUUAUUGGAAGAAUACAAUAGGUGAAGAUAAGACAAAUGAAGUGAAAGAGAGGGUCAACUUCUGAUAAAGCUCAUUGACAAGCAGGAGCCGGCCCUGUAUCAUGCUAAGUGAUACAUUUGCCUCGUGCCCCCAAUUUUUUUGAAAAAUAUUACAUACGAAUAGGUUUCCAAAAAAAAAAAUUUAGGCUCUAAAAUUUGUAAAAAGAUUUCUUUUACAUAAACACAGCCACAUGCCUCCAAAAUGUCAGAACCGAUCCUGAAUCACAAACAGAUUCGAAAGCGUAUAUCAAGCAUGAACCAUCGUGAGUCCACCGCGAAAACUCAGCUUAUCAAAAGGCCAUGGCAACAUGGUUCUCUUUUAGAUAAUCUACUGUGAUGUAAAGCUAAUUUAUUUUGAAAACAUCUCUGGAGCAAGCAACUUUAGUUGUAAACAAUUUUUUUUUGUUGAAUUAAUUUAACAUUCUUUAAAAAAAAAAAAAGAGGAGAAAGACUUCGAGGAGAGCAUAUGCUUUACAUUUUUUAAGCCAACAAACAGAUGAUUUGCUUUUUUUCUCAAUUCUAUGUUGAAAAUGUAUGCCAUAGAGGUAGGAUACAUAAUGAAACACACAAAUCUGAAGGUGAGACUUGAACAGUAUUAAGUGUCUACAACUUUAUAUCUACAAAGAAGAGAGAUUCAUUAAUCAAACUUGAGUAAACUCAAGAGCGUUUGCGUCAGGAUCACGAGUGAAUAUCGCUGGCCUCCCUGACCUACUCAUAGUAUACUCAAUCCCUACAACACAAACAAACAAACAAACACAUCCUUAAAGCAAAAACAAGGAAGGAAAUGAGGCAAAAUGUUUAUAUAUAUACAUAUUACCAGCUUUGUCCAAAAUCUCUUUAAGGUUUGAAACAUCACGGAUUGCGAUACAAGCGUGUCGAUCCCGGCCUCCGUGCUCGGGUCUGCCUGUUAACGGAUCAGGAUUUGGAAGCUCCAUUAAAUGAAUCAUCUCCGAACCUACCCAUA